AGAGUUUGAUCAUGGCUCAGGACGAACGCUGGCGGCGUGCUUAACACAUGCAAGUCGAGCGGUAAGGCCCUUCGGGGUACACGAGCGGCGAACGGGUGAGUAACACGUGAGCAAUCUGCCCAUCACUUCGGGAUAACUCCGGGAAACCGGUGCUAAUACCGAAUAUGACCACUUCAGGCAUCUGACGGUGGUGGAAAGUUCCGGCGGUGAUGGAUGAGCUCGCGGCCUAUCAGCUUGUUGGUGGGGUAACGGCCCACCAAGGCUUCGACGGGUAGCCGGCCUGAGAGGGUGACCGGCCACACUGGGACUGAGACACGGCCCAGACUCCUACGGGAGGCAGCAGUGGGGAAUAUUGGACAAUGGGCGAAAGCCUGAUCCAGCAACGCCGCGUGAGGGAUGACGGCCUUCGGGUUGUAAACCUCUUUCAGCAGGGACGAAGCGCAAGUGACGGUACCUGCAGAAGAAGCACCGGCCAACUACGUGCCAGCAGCCGCGGUAAUACGUAGGGUGCGAGCGUUGUCCGGAAUUAUUGGGCGUAAAGGGCUCGUAGGCGGUCUGUCGCGUCGGGAGUGAAAACUCAGGGCUUAACCCUGAGCCUGCUUCCGAUACGGGCAGACUAGAGGUAUGCAGGGGAGAACGGAAUUCCUGGUGUAGCGGUGAAAUGCGCAGAUAUCAGGAGGAACACCGGUGGCGAAGGCGGUUCUCUGGGCAUUACCUGACGCUGAGGAGCGAAAGUGUGGGGAGCGAACAGGAUUAGAUACCCUGGUAGUCCACACCGUAAACGUUGGGCGCUAGGUGUGGGACUCAUUCCACGAGUUCCGUGCCGCAGCUAACGCAUUAAGCGCCCCGCCUGGGGAGUACGGCCGCAAGGCUAAAACUCAAAGGAAUUGACGG
rnacentral:rRNA from 1 species